CAGGUAUUUAUAAAUUGUAAUAAUUUAUAUAUUUAUAGAUCCAUACAAUGUUGGCAAUAAAAUGAACAUUUUUUGUGUUUAAGUAAUAAGAAGGCAACAACGUAGGGCAAGGCCUAUUAUUGAAAAUGAGUCAAAUGAGGAAGAAGAACUUCAGAAUCAGAAUUUGGAAGGUUAAAUUAAUUUUAUUACUUUUUAUUGCAUUUAUAAUAAAAAAAUAAUUUUAUUUGAAAUGUAAACCAUUGUUUUGUUAUACAUAGAUGAUGCAGAAAUUCAGGUUGAGAAUUACCGUCAAGAUGGAGAGGCAAAUAAUGAGGAGAGAGAAGAAGUGGUACAAGAUUCUGAAAUAGAACAAGUGCUUGUGCAGGAAGACGAUUUCGAAGAUAUGAUGCAAGAAGAAGAGGUGGACAGACAGGUGCAUGAUGAAAAUAGUUCAAAUGAUUCCUCUGAUACCAUUAAUUAUGACUGGGUACCUGAAGAUCAAAACAUAUUGAUUAACAAGAAACAGUUAUUGGAGAUAUUAAAGAAAGCUGAAAAAGGACUGAAAGAAAACUAUUCAAGUUUGCAUGACAUGCGCCUUAAAAUAGAAAAAAUGUAACAAUACAAUUUGAUUUAUCAUAAUGUGACCAAAUUUUAUUUUUAUUUUUGUGAUAAAAAAUAAAUAUUUAUGUUUAACCGUG